rnacentral:rRNA from 1 species
GGGUUGUGAGGUUAAGCGACUAAGCGUACACGGUGGAUGCCCUGGCAGUCAGAGGCGAUGAAGGGCGUGCUAAUCUGCGAUAAGCGCCGGUAAGGUGAUAUGAACCGUUAUAACCGGCGAUACCCGAAUGGGGAAACCCAGUGUGAUUCGUCACACUAUCAUUAACUGAAUCCAUAGGUUAAUGAGGCGAACCGGGGGAACUGAAACAUCUAAGUACCCCGAGGAAAAGAAAUCAACCGAGAUUCCCCCAGUAGCGGCGAGCGAACGGGGAGGAGCCCAGAGCCUGAAUCAGCAUGUGUGUUAGUGGAAGCGUCUGGAAAGGCGCGCGAUACAGGGUGACAGCCCCGUACACAAAAGCGCAUGUGCUGUGAGCUCGAUGAGUAGGGCGGGACACGUGGUAUCCUGUCUGAAUAUGGGGGGACCAUCCUCCAAGGCUAAAUACUCCUGACUGACCGAUAGUGAACCAGUACCGUGAGGGAAAGGCGAAAAGAACCCCGGCGAGGGGAGUGAAAAAGAACCUGAAACCGUGUACGUACAAGCAGUGGGAGCCUCUUUUAUGGGGUGACUGCGUACCUUUUGUAUAAUGGGUCAGCGACUUAUAUUCUGUAGCAAGGUUAACCGUAUAGGGGAGCCGGAGGGAAACC